UACGGAGGGGGCUAGCGUUGUUCGGAAUUACUGGCGUAAAGCGCGCGUAGGCGGACCUGCAAGUCGGGGGUGAAAGCCCCGAGGCUCAACCUCGGAACUGCCUUCGAUACUGCGGGUCUCGAGUCCGGGAGAGGUGAGUGGAAUUCCGUAGUGUAGAGGUGAAAUUCGUAGAUAUUAGGAAGAACACCAGUGGCGAAGGCGGCUCACCUGGCCCCGGUACUGACGCUGAGGCGCGAAAGCGUGGGGGAGCAAACAGG
rnacentral:rRNA from 1 species